AACGUAGGUGGCGAGCGUUAUCCGGAUUCAUUGGGCGUAAAGAGCUUGUAGGUGGUGCGAUAAGUUGGACGUGAAAACUCCGGGCUUAACUUGGAGAGGCCGUUCAAUACUGUUGUGCUAGAGGGCGUCAGAGGGAAGUGGAAUUCCUGGUGUAGCAGUGAAAUGCGUAGAUAUCAGGAGGAACACCCGUGGCGAAGGCGGCUUCCUGGGACGUACCUGACACUGAGAAGCGAAAGCUAGGGGAGCAAACGGG
rnacentral:rRNA from 1 species